GUAACUGUUGACAGGACACGGACUGGAGCUGCAGGGGUCGGGAACGCUGCAGCCCGGCUCCACGUUGACCUUCCUGGCCUGAGACAGACUCAGAGCUCCACCGACACGGAGACCCUGAAGGAACGCACACCACACGGAAAUUCUGAGACGUCAAAUAACAGUUCACCUGGUAGAGCCCCUGGUCUACGGACAGCACCGCCUUGUGGUUGCCCCCUGCGCCUCCUAAGCUGCUGAUGUCCAACUGCAGGAAUAACAGUGAAAAACAAAAAGGUGAAUCUGGAACUCAAUUGGCCAGAAGGGGGAGCUGUGUAGUCAUUCUAUGGACUUACAGUGUGAGGUUGUGCUGCAGGCUGGAGGAGAUGUGUAACAGCGUGGCGCUGGCCUGACGUGUGCGGAACAUAAGCUCAACAUGCCAGGGGACGGAGGCCUCCGCUGUCGCCAGGUUGUUCCACUGCAACAAGCUGUUGCCC